UGGGGUAUCGCCAAGCGGUAAGGCAGCGGGUUUUGAUCCCGUCAUUCGGAGGUUCAAAUCCUCCUACCCCAGCCA
rnacentral:tRNA from 1 species